CUCAUGAUCUGCCUGCCUCGGCCUCCCAAAGUGCUGGGAUUACAGGCGUGAGCCACUGCGCGCAGCCUUAUAUGAUCUAGUUUUAACCGACCUAAUCCUCCAAAAGGGCCAAGAGGCUCACACAAGAUUCCUGUAAAGAAUCUGCAACUAACAACAGAAAUCCAGAGCAGAUGAACCACAGCAGAAGGGGGAGCUGAGAAUUCCUUAUUACUCCUGGCAGAGCGCACGUCACCCGGGGAAAAAUGGCAGAAACAAUGAGCAGUAAAUGAUCUGUCGACAAACCGAAAGACUUCUUUGUCAGCAAACACCGUCGGAAGAUGUGGAGAAAACACUGCCGAAGAUUGGAAGAAACUCGUGUUAGAGCAAAGUACCCAGUGUGGGAGGUUUGCUUUGCAAUGAGCUGAAAGCACAGAUGUUCCCAACAUGGCUCAGCUGAAGAAGAAUGGAGGCCCAGGGAGGGAAGGUAAUGAGUCUUCCUUGCUGAGAAAUCCAUGCCCAGCACCCAGAUGGCCUAGGCGG
rnacentral:lncRNA from 1 species